ACCCACCUCCCUUAUUUGUUUGCAAGAGUUUAUAUUUUCCCUUUUGACUAAUGUUUGUUACUUAAGAGAACAAAUAUUUUUGGGCAAUUUCAUGGGUUCUCUUUUUCAACAACAAUUUAAUCGUGGGUCUCAACUCCCCACUCCUAUGAAUAUUGUGAAAAAUGCACGUUUAAUUGCUUAAAAUACAUCAAUUCCGUCAAAAAUUGAUGUUCUAUUAACAUACUUAAAACCAACGCAUGUUAACUGUCGUCCAGGUCAGUGUAAGUUAACUUGCGAUAGGUUAAUUGUGGAAAUUCAAAGUGCGAAUGAAUAAUUUUGAAAAGAGUAAAAUUCUUAAUUUUUUUCUGCUGCAAUUUUACAAAAUAUCAACAGAAAGAACGAAUCAUCAAUUUUUAUGAUUUUAAGUUAUGUGAUAUAAUAAGGCGAUGUGAAAAUAACAUUACGAUGGAAUCUUUUGCAUUUUGAUAAAGAUGAAAUUGUUUAAUUGAUUUAAUCACCAUCAUUUGCAAAUAAGAAAUCUAUGUAAGGAAAUGUUGAAAGGUCGCAUUUGUUUCAUCCAAGCCACUAAGGAAGUUUGCAUUAAGAUCUGUAUUAAAAAAAGUGUAAAUUUUCACAUAAGACAUCCCAAGUGACAAAAAAACAAAGUGGGCCAUGCAAACAAGAAUGGAUGAAUGAAAAUUGAAAACAAUUUUAUUGUUUUACACCGUAUCAUGACAUUGACAAAAUCGAACAUCCCAAUGUGAUUAAACUUAUUAGAGAACCUUACCCUAUUUAGUUUGCUUCAAGCCUGCAAUGCAACAAUGUCAUUCUUAUUCUUAGGUGAGAUGUCAAUAACAAAUGCCAAUGCUUAACUUCAUAUGAAUCCAUCGACCUACACACAUAUACAAUAUUGAAAGCUACCAACAAAUUUCUGUUGCCUAACUCAAUAUAAAAAUUCAAUAAUGAUCGAAGAAGAAAGGAAAAUCAUUGUGUUUAGUUAGUAACUUAUAAAUAAAGUUUGUUGUAUUAUAAACAGUGAACGCAAUGGUAGCAGGAAGUUUGGUUGAGUAUAUAUCUUUCAUCCAAUUAUGCAAAGACAUAUUACAAUUUUAUAUUAAUUUAUCUUAAAAUAAAUCUACAUAUUAAAUAAAUUUUGUCGGUAUUUAUCUAAAUUUUAAGAUACUUAAAAAUUUAUUAUUAGAAAUACAAUUCUAUUGAUAGCUACAAAAACGUUAACACAUAAGGGCCAUGAGUUUGAAUCGAAGAUUCUUCACUUUUCACCAUUAAACGAGUAUGAGUUUAACUACUAACCUAUUUGGUAAAAUAAAAAUAACGUUUGCAAUUGUUGAAUGUUUUGUGUUUCUUCGUAACAAGAACGAGGUGUUACUGCUGGAUGGUAGCAAAAGUUACAUUUAAAAAAAAAAAACCUUAAAAAAUAUUAAUUAUAAAUAUGAAAGUUUGUUUUUCUAAGUUAAGUACGAAAGUUACAUAUUACCUGAUAGGUAGCAAAC
rnacentral:lncRNA from 1 species